CCAUGGUGGCUGGCUGUACUCAUGGCUGUGAGAGGCUCUGGAGUUGAAACUUUAACAAGGACUUCAGCACCUGCAGUGACCCUCAGCCUUCACUGCUGGGAGGUGGAUGGAGAACAUUAGCUUUACAGCACA